rnacentral:rRNA from 1 species
UACGGAGGGUGCAAGCGUUAUCCGGAUUUACUGGGUUUAAAGGGUGCGCAGGCGGAUAUGUAAGUCAGUGGUGAAAUCUCUAGGCUUAACCUGGAAAUUGCCGUUGAUACUAUAUAUCUUGAAUGCUGUGGAGGUAAGCGGAAUAUGUCAUGUAGCGGUGAAAUGCUUAGAUAUGACAUAGAACACCUAUUGCGAAGGCAGCUUACUACGCAGAUAUUGACGCUGAGGCUCGAAAGCGUGGGGAUCAAACAGG